rnacentral:rRNA from 1 species
UAAGGAAUAUUGGACAAUGGUCGAAAGACUGAUCCAGCCAUGCCGCGUGCAGGAUGACGGCCCUAUGGGUUGUAAACUGCUUUUAUACGGGAAAAAACCCCUCUACGUGUAGAGGGCUGAUUGUACUGUAAGAAUAAGGAUCGGCUAACUCCGUGCCAGCAGCCGCGGUAAUACGGAGGAUCCAAGCGUUAUCCGGAUUCAUUGGGUUUAAAGGGUGCGUAGGCGGAAUAAUAAGUCAGUGGUGAAAGCCUGUUGCUUAACAACAGAACUGCCAUUGAUACUGUUAAUCUUGAGUACAUUUGAUGUGGGCGGAAUGUGUCAUGUAGCGGUGAAAUGCUUAGAUAUGACACAGAACACCGAUUGCGAAGGCAGCCCCCUGGGUCGACACUGACGCUCAUGCACGAAAGCGUGGGGAGCAAACAGG